rnacentral:snRNA from 1 species
AUACGCUUUCUGCUGAGCUGUGGCGCAAACCUAGUAUCUGUUCUUAUCAGUUUAAUAUCUGAUAUGUUCUCGAUGUGAGAACUUUAUAUUAAAUUGCCUUAUGUGUCACUUUCCAAAGACAGUGAAAUAGAGAUAAAUGUCAGGUUCAGUUAGAAUAUAGUGGAUGUACUGAUAUACCUGAA